GCCUCUCUAUCCGCAGGCGAGCUGGAUGGAAGUCUUCCGGAAGGAUCAGACUGGAUGGGGAAGGACGGUUCCGGUCGGCUGCCGUGGGAGCGGGGAAUUGAAGGGUGGCGCCAGUCGCUGCAGGAGAUUCGACGGCAGCGGGCGGACUGGAAGGGGCCGGCAGCGAGCGGGGGCAUACGGACUGGAAGGGGCCGACGGCGAGCAAUGUAAGGGAGCAGGAGAGCGGCACGACAUGGCGGGAGCAGGUGGUCGCCUCUCCAUGGUGCUCAGCUAUCCUGCGUGAGUUGGAGCGAUGCAGGCUGACUGUGCUGCGCAGGAGCGGCGUUAAGGUCAGAGCGGUCUACAUCUUCUUCUUUCCUCGCUCAUAGGUGAGGAUAUCGAUGGAGGCUGGAAAAAUUCCCCGAUGAGCUCCUUCCGCUGUGCUGACUCAUGUAGGACUUUUGGCCUGCAUGAUCUUCUUGCACAGUAAGAUCCUACUGAAGGGUGGGAAGGGGAGCGGUAGAUUCGGCCGUCGAUUUGUGCAAGUGUCCGAGCUGUAAGAUGCAGAUGAUGUACUUGAUGCUGGUGAAGAAAUCAUGUGCACAUGAUGAUCUUUCCUCGACAGAGUUGGUGUUUUGUAACGAUGACUAUCUCUGAUUUUGGAAGCUAAUGGACAUGUCUCCUUCGGUGACAUAAUGAGUGCUUUUCUUAACUUCAAUUAACAAACCCAUCUCCUGGUUUAUGCUCUUCUUUAAUUUCACAUCCCUUGGUUGCAGAGCUAAAGCAAUCUGCCAGUGGUUGGGAUCCUACUGAGAUUAGUAUAAAGCAUGAAGAAUGACCUUGCCAGGAACCACUACUUUCAGUGAGACGGUUCAGCAACUACGACAUUCAGCCUGCAGGUUCACACAUGAUUGAUACCCAAGAACAUGGUUUUGUGACCUUGUUAUGGCGGAUGAUCUUUCAUGUACUAUUGUUUAUAGUAAUAUCUCUUGAAACUCAACUGAAGGGGAAGAUCUGAAGGCUUGGGUGAGCUCAGCCUUGGCCGAGCUGAUACUGUCACCAGCGCAGGGUGGCGUUCGCUUGAGAUUCCACUCAAGAUCGGCCGGAUUUUGUAGUCAGUCGAGUUGUAGUGUUCAGUAAUCAGAACUUGUCAAGUCGUUAAAUUUCAGAGAAGAUGUAAACUCGUAUGAGUUUCAGAAUUAUAUGGCCAUAUCCACUGUAAUUUUAUCCCAAAGCUGCUAAUGUAUGAGUUUCAGCGCUGCAAAUGUAUGAGUUUUGUGCACUAUCCUGUCAUCUACUACAAUGCCCAAGCUUGUACACUGUAGUUUGAAGUUUUUGUGUAUUUCUUAAUCGACUUGCUAGAUGGAAUGGUGUUCAGUUAGAGAAGAUGGAUGCUUGCUUGGUAGCUUAUCAUAUGUAUUGUCCCUUUUGAUUUUGCUUGUAGAUUUUCAGAUAGUAUUUUUGCUGGCCAACCUUCUAU